rnacentral:rRNA from 1 species
UACGAAGGGGGCUAGCGUUGUUCGGAAUUACUGGGCGUAAAGCGCACGUAGGCGGACAUUUAAGUCAGGGGUGAAAUCCCAGAGCUCAACUCUGGAACUGCCUUUGAUACUGGGUGUCUUGAGUAUGGAAGAGGUGAGUGGAAUUCCGAGUGUAGAGGUGAAAUUCGUAGAUAUUCGGAGGAACACCAGUGGCGAAGGCGGCUCACUGGUCCAUUACUGACGCUGAGGUGCGAAAGCGUGAGGAGCAAACAGG